AUUUUCUGAGAUUCGGUCGUGGGGUUGGAGCUAGCCAACUACCCGAGUGUGUCCGGCGGCGAGCACAACAUCUUUUCCUCCAUGGUUUCUAUUCGACUGUGUCCGGCGGCGAGCAGUUUGGAAACUGGAAUUGAGGCGCAUCCGCGGCAAGCGGCGGUGGGUGUACUACGUGACCUGACGAGCGACGGGUCGGCUCUGCGCUCGUCGUGUCCUCGGCGGUAGCGUCUUGGUCGGCGGAUGAAAUCGACGGCGGUGUGGUCAGCCGGCCGAAUCGGUGACCUCAGCCCAUCCCCGUAAACAAAUUUUGCAUAGAGGUGGUGAUCUGGUCGGUGAAGGUAAAAGAUUACAUCCCUUGCCACCGGAGGAAGGACCACGAGCGCAGCUGGCCUGAGACGCCGUGGAUCCAAUGCGCCUGGCCACCACCACUGCCCCGGCCGCCUCUUCUCCUACAUCUAGCGCCGGCCGACCCCACCAUCUUCCCUAUCGCCGGCGUCCGGCGAGCCCCGCAUCCUUCCAUCCCCGCAUCAGCUACCCGGAUGGCUUCCUUACAUCAAGAUUUAUAAGUUUGACUGAGUCUACAGUAGGCAUUGUUCAGUUGAUAGCCAACUUGUUUGUUCUAACAAAUGGUCUUGCUAGUAGAAUUUCAGAUACUUGCACCCUGGAAUGCACCGUCUGAAUGGGGAAAGUAAGGAUAGCUGCUUAUCCCCUUGUAGCAUCGAUCUCAAUUUUUUCAACAAGAAUGAAGCGAUGUGAGAUUUCUUUUAGACAUGACCGGUAUCUUCAGCAUUUUAGUUUUGCCAACCUGAUUACAGAUUCUUCCAUUUCCUAAGAUGCUGCAUAAUUAACUUACUGUAGGUAGUUAUAUGGAUAAGCACCUGGUAAACACUUCUUCCAAAAGUUGUUGAACAAGUCUCCCCCAAAAAAAAAGACACCCACUAGCACUAGCACUGAAAUAUUAGUGCUCUGCUACGUGGUAAGAUUAUUUUUCUUUGGAAAGCACGAACCCAAACUUCUGCACCGUGAAGCCACUCAUCCAAAUUAUUAUGGAACACAAGACCCAUGAAGCAACUACUUUUCUGUUCACAUAAGUAGUAUAUUCUUGUUCUGGCAAUCCAGUCUUAUGGACUACUUCAUUUCUGGAAACAUUGCGUUGAUGCUUUCACUUUCAGGGGAAUCAUUGUUAAGAUACUAGAAAAUAUACUUGUAUUAGAGUCAGAUAAAUAAUUUUUUUGUUGUACUGUUUGAUAAACUAGGUUUGAACUCACAUGAAUCUGACGACCUUAUGAGUAUAGAUUUUUCAUACUUGUUAUUAUUUCGAAUUAGCAUAGGCACUUCUUGUUUAAUAGCUCAAGGACUCAAUUAGGUCACAAGAUUCAUAUUUUGGGAUGGCUUUGUCUGCAUGUCAUAAGGCAACAGAAGUUUCCAUGGCCUGGUUUACGGCAAAGCUGUAGUGCCGUAAUAAUCUAUGGCUUAAUAUACUAACAAUAAAUAACAAGUUCUAGAGCUAUGCAAGCAUUUCCUCUCACAUAUGGAUGUAAAAUAUUUAUAAAACACAAUCUUUCGGUUUAGGAAAAGCAUCUAUGACAUGUAUAACCAAAAAAAAUCCACCAAUCCAGUUCAUGACUUCCAGAUGCAUCAUAUAUACUCUGCAUUUCGUUUCUUUGUUUAAUUUUUUCUCUAUUAGAUGUUUGGUGGGUAAAGUAUACAUUCCUAUCCUGAAUAUGAAUGGAAACACAUAGCAUCUGAUUAGAUUUGAAAUCUAUUCACCCGUGUUGAUCAUGGUGUGAAAACAAAAAUUCUUUUGCUCUUCUAGCGGUCAUCACACCUUCAUAAUAAUUCACUUUUUUUGCCCAAGGAGAUUCUUCGGUUAGAAAUUCUUGACAGUAUCUUGAUUCUUAUGGUAAUUGUUAAUUUUUUAGCUGGUACUAACACAGGGUUUCUUGGAAUAUAUGAUACUUGCAUGCCGAUAUGUGGUAAAGCAAGUGCCUUCUUUUUAUGCCUGAGAUACUCCAAUCAGCAUUGUAGUGCAAAUUUGUUUUGUGGAUUCUGUAGCUUCUGCUAGUUUAUAUUGAAUGCUGAAGUUUCAGUCAUAACAGUUUCAAACUUCCAUUAUUCCAGAGAAUUAUACUUUCUAUAUUAUUCAAUUCCAAUCUGGAAUACUACAGUGUGUUGAUCAAGCUAUCUUUUGUCAGGUGUGAGCAAGAGCAACAAGCUGAAUGUAAAUUGUUUACGGAUACAUAAUAACGUUGUAUGUUGUAUCAAUUUCUUAGACACCUAAUAACUUAGUAUGUUGUAUUAAUUUCUCAGACACUGUAAUACAGGUUUCCUUACUUCCUUUUGGUGACAGGUCAACUCAACAAGGUGGAGCACAUAUCUAGAUUGGAAAGAGUGGUACUGGCAAUGUAGUUGCUGAAGAAAACUGAAGCAAACUCUUCUUUACUGACUUGAGGGAUUCUGUCUUUGUAAUCAUGUUUUUGUGAUUGUGUUGCCAAGCCCAGGCAGGAUGCUCUUAUGGCAUCCGAUGGUGUCGUGCUAUGAAGAUGUUGUACACUUCUUUUGAGGAUAUGGUACCUCAUUACGUGUACUAUAAAAUCUCAAGACAACCUUAUUGGCUAUAAUGCAUUCUUUAUUCAACUA